UACGAAGGGGGCUAGCGUUGCUCGGAAUCACUGGGCGUAAAGCGCACGUAGGCGGCUUUUUAAGUCAGGGGUGAAAUCCUGGAGCUCAACUCCAGAACUGCCUUUGAUACUGAGAGGCUUGAGUCCGGGAGAGGUGAGUGGAACUGCGAGUGUAGAGGUGAAAUUCGUAGAUAUUCGCAAGAACACCAGUGGCGAAGGCGGCUCACUGGCCCGGUACUGACGCUGAGGUGCGAAAGCAUGGGGAGCGAACAGG
rnacentral:rRNA from 1 species